rnacentral:rRNA from 1 species
UACGGAGGGUGCAAGCGUUAUCCGGAUUCACUGGGUUUAAAGGGUGCGUAGGUGGGUUGGUAAGUCAGUGGUGAAAUCUCCGAGCUUAACUUGGAAACUGCCAUUGAUACUAUCAGUCUUGAAUAUUGUGGAGGUUAGCGGAAUAUGUCAUGUAGCGGUGAAAUGCUUAGAUAUGACAUAGAACACCAAUUGCGAAGGCAGCUGGCUACACAUAUAUUGACACUGAGGCACGAAAGCGUGGGGAGCAAACAGG